AGAGUUUGAUCCUGGCUCAGGAUGAACGCUGGCGGCGUGCCUAACACAUGCAAGUCGAACGAAGUUACACAGAGGAAGUUUUCGGAUGGAAUCAGUAUAACUUAGUGGCGGACGGGUGAGUAACGCGUGGGAAACCUGCCCUGUACCGGGGGAUAACACUUAGAAAUAGGUGCUAAUACCGCAUAAGCGCACGGAACCGCAUGGUUCCGUGUGAAAAACUCCGGUGGUACAGGAUGGUCCCGCGUCUGAUUAGCCAGUUGGCAGGGUAACGGCCUACCAAAGCGACGAUCAGUAGCCGGCCUGAGAGGGUGAACGGCCACAUUGGGACUGAGACACGGCCCAAACUCCUACGGGAGGCAGCAGUGGGGAAUAUUGCACAAUGGGGGAAACCCUGAUGCAGCGACGCCGCGUGAGUGAAGAAGUAUUUCGGUAUGUAAAGCUCUAUCAGCAGGGAAGAAAAUGACGGUACCUGACUAGGAAGCCCCGGCUAACUACGUGCCAGCAGCCGCGGU
rnacentral:rRNA from 1 species